rnacentral:rRNA from 1 species
UACGUAGGGGGGCUAGCGUUGUCCGGAAUCAUUGGGCGUAAAGCGCGUGUAGGCGGCCCGGUAAGUCCGCUGUGAAAGUCGGGGGGCUCAACCCUCGGAUGCCGGUGGAUACUGUCGGGCUCGAGUACGGAAGAGGCGAGUGGAAUUCCUGGUGUAGCGGUGAAAAUGCGCAGAUAUCAGGAGGAACACCAAUUGCGAAGGCAGCUCGCUGGGACGUUACUGACGCUGAGACGCGAAAGCGUGGGGAGCAAACAGG